rnacentral:misc_RNA from 1 species
ACAAAUCCAUAUUUUAUGCCGCAAGGCGUAGAUAUAAAUUCGCUUGGCUGGCGCAAGCUGCCAAGUUGAAGAAAAGAUUAUUAUGUAUGUGCUGGUUGUCUCUCGUGAGAGAUGAUGACGGUAUGUAAAUAAGUGUAUGUUGUGUAGACAAGUGUGUGUAAAAACAAAAAAUUAAUUGA